rnacentral:rRNA from 1 species
CCUACGGGAGGCAGCAGUAGGGAAUCUUUCACAAUGGGCGAAAGCCUGAUGGAGCAACGCCGCGUGCAGGAUGAAGGCCUUCGGGUUGUAAACUGCUUUUAUAAGCGAGAAAUAUGAUGGUAACUUAUGAAUAAGGAUCGGCUAACUACGUGCCAGCAGCCGCGGUCAUACGUAGGAUCCGAGGAUGAGCCGGAGUGACUGGGUGUAAAGAGUUGCGUAGGUGGCAUAAUAAGUAGCUAGUGAAAUCUGGUGGCUCAACCAUUCAGACUAUUAGCUAAACUGUUAAGCUCGAGACCGUUAGGGGUAACUGGAAUUUCUAGUGUAGGAGUGAAAUCCGUAGAUAUUAGAAGGAACACCGAUAGCGUAGGCAGGUUGCUGGGACGGUUCUGACACUAAGGCACGAAAGCGUAGGGAGCAAACGGGAUUAGAUACCCCAGUAGUC